rnacentral:rRNA from 1 species
UACGUAGGGGGCAAGCGUUGUCCGGAAUCAUUGGGCGUAAAGAGCGUGUAGGUGGCUCGGUAAGUCCGCUGUAAAAGUCCAGGGCUCAACCCUGGAAAGCCGGUGGAAACUGUCGAGCUAGAGUCCAGAAGAGGCGAGUGGAAUUCCUGGUGUAGCGGUGAAAUGCGCAGAUAUCAGGAGGAACACCAAUGGCGAAGGCAGCUCGCUGGGACGGUACUGACACUGAGACGCGAAAGCGUGGGGAGCAAACAGG